rnacentral:rRNA from 1 species
AUAUCAAUAAGCGGAGGAAAAGAAACCAACAGGGAUUGCCCUAGUAACGGCGAGUGAAGCGGCAACAGCUCAAAUUUGAAAUCUGGCCCUCGCGGUCCGAGUUGUAAUUUGUAGAGGAUGCUUUGGGCGCGGCGCCUUCCAAGUUCCCUAGAACGGGACGCCUUAGAGGGUGAGAGCCCCGUACGGUUGGACGCCUAGCCUAUGUAUAGCUCCUUCGACGAGUCGAGUAGUUUGGGAAUGCUGCUCUAAAUGGGAGGUAAAUUUCUUCUAAAGCUAAAUACCGGCCAGAGACCGAUAGCGCACAAGUAGAGUGAUCGAAAGAUGAAAAGUACUUUGAAAAGAGGGUUAAAUAGCACGUGAAAUUGUUGAAAGGGAAGCGUUUGCGACCAGACCUUUUCCAGGCGGAUCAUCCGGCGUUCUCGCCGGUGCACUUCGCCUGGUUUAGGCCAGCAUCGGUUUUCCCAGGGGGAUAAAGGCGGCGGGAACGUAGCUCUUUCGGGAGUGUUAUAGCCCGCCGCGUAAUACCCUUGGGGGGACCGAGGACCGCGCUUCGGCAAGGAUGCUGGCGUAAUGGUCGUCAACGACCCGUCUUGAAACACGGACCAAGGAGUCGAACAUUUGUGCGAGUGUUUGGGUGUCAAACCCUCACGCGUAAUGAAAGUGAACGGAGGUGAGAGCCCCUCGCGGGUGCAUCAUCGACCGAUCCUGAUGUCUUCGGAUGGAUUUGAGUAAGAGCAUAACUGUUCGGACCCGAAAGAUGGUGAACUAUGCGUGGAUAGGGUGAAGCCAGAGGAAACUCUGGUGGAGGCUCGCAGCGGUUCUGACGUGCAAAUCGAUCGUCAAAUCUGCGCAUGGGGGCGAAAGACUUAUCGAACCAUCUAGUAGCUGGUUACCGCCGAAGUUUCCCUCAGGAUAGCAGUGUUGUCUUCAGUUUUAUGAGGUAAAGCGAAUGAUUAGGGACUCGGG